CAUGAUCACUGUAUCGUCGGCGUAUAUUGAUAAUAGCAUGUGGAUUUUUUGGGCUCCAUAAUAUGUGCUUCGCAUGAGUGAUGGAAGGGGCAUAUCCGAGGAGUAUAAUGUAUACAAUAUUGGGCCCAGUUGUUACGGAACUGCUUGUUUCUCAGUGGGCCGCGCCGGCUGGCUCAUCGGAUUCUCUGGGUGUAGUCCCAUUCCUGGCCCGCAGUCCGUUUCUCUGUACCUUCAUUUAUAUCGUAUUUAUUUUUCUUUGAUUACACACCGACUUCAAAGAAGCCGAGUGCUUCUUCACCAUUGGGCGCCAUAUUGUUACGGAACUGCUUGUUUCUCAGUGGGCCGCGCCGGCGGGCUCAUCGGAUUUUUCGGGUGUAGUUCCAUCCCGGACAAUCGAUAACAACAAAGCUACACUUCUGUAGCAAAACAGACUCACACAACUAACUAACCAAUAUUCGGAUCUGCUAACUCAUGAACAAAAUAAACAGCUGUAACAACUAUGAAAAUGUAAACAACAAAGAUCGGGCCCCGGUUCCGGACCCAGCGUACCCGCUCCACCAUGAGACGAUCACCUACACUCGUCUCCCUCAUUUUGGCCACUAAAUGGCCUACAUUAGCCAGUGUCGACCCUCAUGCCCACUCUCCCCAACAAUUUACUUUAGCCGGACAUGCUUUCUUUCAAUAACUAUUUAGAAUCUCAUGCAAGUGGACAUUUCGUUAACUUCACAGAUAAAUAAGAAUUCAUGCACGUGCUAUUGAUAUUGCUAAUCGCCGCAAAAGAAACACGCAAGGAGGCAAUUUAGAGGCAAUCGUUGCGACGAUUUAGGAACAAUAAAAACAAUAAAAAAGAUAAUCAGUCGUGCAACAGAGCUCUCAGGGGUGAUACGGGGCGAUUUAAAUGGAUAAUUCCAAUUAGGCGCAGAUGGAUCACCUUUGGAGUUUCCCUCACCGUUCGCACUCUAAAGUGAAGCUCGGCGUAAGUGCCUAUGGAGUACGAUCAGGAGUCUUCAUCAAUUCUCUGCCAAGGGCCCGAACGAGGAUGGGCAAAAAGGAAACGGACUCACUCGGGGGAUGUGGGUGUGGUGUCGCCUGUGGCCGCUUCUUCGUUGUUGGCGCCCGGUCGUUGGUGGCUCGUCUCGUCGCCUUCAGGGUUGCGCCGACGCUUGGCUGGCGGCGUCGCGCAUAUGGCUGGUGUGCGCCGCUGAGCCGAAUACUGGGCUUUGGUAUGUUUCGUGGGCCUCUCUGCUGCGAGACUGGUCCCUUUGUGGCCGGAGCCGUUAAUUUUUAUUUUUUUAUUGGUUCGUCUCUCGUCGCACUUAAGUUUCAAGUUUUAUUUUAUAUAUA